rnacentral:lncRNA from 1 species
AUGGUGAUUGACAGCCUGAGUCGUACAGCUGUGUACCAGCUAUUAGCUGAUGCAGACAUUCAGAUCAAGGCACACAUGGCCAAGUUCCUUCUGUAUCACGUUUGUAUUAUACCCACUGAGGAAUUCUCAACUGAAUACUUGAGACCUCAAGUCCACUGCAUUGCCAGCUAUGGGCCACUUACUAACCCAAGUGUCACCUGUGUUUCCCUGGACCAUGAAACUCCUCCAACAGCCUUAAUUUUGGAUGCUGGGAGUGGGGGCCCUUUCUCUGUCCUGCCUCAGCAGCCUUCCUCUCCUGCAAAUGUCACAAAUGGAGUUACCCUGAAGGCACCACAGGUAGGAACACCCUCCACUGUGUUGUUUCUGGACUAGUGGUUCUCAGAGUGUGGCUCCCCCAGC